AUCUACUCCCCGGAUCACUCAAGCAAUAACUUCUCGUCCAGCCCUUCUACCCCCGUGGGCUCCCCCCAGGGCCUGGCAGGAACGUCACAGUGGCCUCGAGCAGGAGCCCCCGGUGCCUUAUCGCCCAGCUACGACGGGGGUCUCCACGGCCUGGUUGGAGGCAGCCACCCCGAGGACGGCCUCGCAGGCAGCACCAGCCUCAUGCACAACCACGCGGCCCUCCCCAGCCAGCCAGGCACCCUCCCUGACCUGUCUCGGCCUCCCGACUCCUACAGUGGGCUAGGGCGA
rnacentral:lncRNA from 1 species